rnacentral:rRNA from 1 species
UACGGGGGGGGUAAGCGUUGUUCGGAAUUACUGGGCGUAAAGGGCGCGUAGGCGGCCAGCACAAGUCAGUUGUGAAAUCUCCGAGCUUAACUCGGAAAGGUCAACUGAUACUGUGCGGCUAGAGUGCGGAAGGGGCAACUGGAAUUCUUGGUGUAGCGGUGAAAUGCGUAGAUAUCAAGAGGAACACCUGCGGCGAAGGCGGGUUGCUGGGCCGACACUGACGCUGAUGCGCGAAAGCGUGGGUAGCAAACGGG